rnacentral:rRNA from 1 species
UGAGAACUCUAAGGAGACUGCCGGUGAUAAACCGGAGGAAGGUGGGGACGACGUCAAGUCAUCAUGGCCCUUACGUGUAGGGCUACACACGUGCUACAAUGGCGCAUACAGAGUGCUGCGAACUCGCGAGAGUAAGCGAAUCACUUAAAGUGCGUCGUAGUCCGGAUUGGAGUCUGCAACUCGACUCCA